rnacentral:rRNA from 1 species
CCUACGGGUUGCACCAGUGGGGAAUUUUCCGCAAUGGGCGAAAGCCCGACGGAGCAAUGCCGCGUGGAGGUAGAAGGCCCACGGGUCGUGAACUUCUUUUCCCGGAGAAGAAGCAAUGACGGUAUCUGGGGAAUAAGCAUCGGCUAACUCUGUGCCAGCAGCCGCGGUAAUACAGAGGAUGCAAGCGUUAUCUGGAGUGAUUGGGCGUAAAGCGUCUGUAGGUGGCUUUUUAAGUCCGCCGUCAAAUCCCAGGGCUCAACCCUGGACAGGCGGUGGAAACUACCAAGCUGGGGUACGGUAGGGGCAGAGGGAAUUUCCGGUGGAGCGGUGAAAUGCGUAGAGAUCGGAAAGAACACCAACGGCGAAAGCACUCUUCUGGGCCGACACUGACACUGAGAGACGAAAGCUAGGGGAGCGAAUGGGAUUAGAUACCCCAGUAGUC